GAUGAACGCUAGCUACAGGCUUAACACAUGCAAGUCGAGGGGCAGCAUGGUCUUAGCUUGCUAAGGCCGAUGGCGACCGGCGCACGGGUGAGUAACACGUAUCCAACCUGCCGUCUACGUCUUGGACCUAGACCUUACUGAAAGGAAGAUUAAUACAAGAUGGCAUCAUGAGUCCGCAUGUUCACGAUGAUUAAAGGUAUUCCGGUAGACGAGUGGGGAUGCGUUCCAUUAGAUAGUAGGCGGGUAACGCCACUAGUCUUCGAUGGAUAGGGGUUCUGAGAGGAAGGUCCCCC
rnacentral:rRNA from 1 species